rnacentral:rRNA from 1 species
GAUGAACGCUGGCGGCGUGCCUAAUACAUGCAAGUCGAGCGAACGGACGAGAAGCUUGCUCCUCUGACGUUAGCGGCGGACGGGUGAGUAACACGUGGAUAACCUACCUAUAAGACUGGGAUAACUUCGGGAAACCGGAGCUAAUACCGGAUAAUAUAUUGAACCGCAUGGUUCAAUAGUGAAAGACGGUCUUGCUGUCACUUAUAGAUGGAUCCGCGCUGCAUUAGCUAGUUGGUAAGGUAACGGCUUACCAAGGCAACGAUGCAUAGCCGACCUGAGAGGGUGAUCGGCCACACUGGAACUGAGACACGGUCCAGACUCCUACGGGAGGCAGCAGUAGGGAAUCUUCCGCAAUGGGCGAAAGCCUGACGGAGCAACGCCGCGUGAGUGAUGAAGGUCUUCGGAUCGUAAAACUCUGUUAUUAGGGAAGAACAAAUGUGUAAGUAACUGUGCACGUCUUGACGGUACCUAAUCAGAAAGCCACGGCUAACUACGUG